rnacentral:rRNA from 1 species
UGGGGAAUCUUGCACAAUGGGGGAAACCCUGAUGCAGCGACGCCGCGUGAGCGAUGAAGGUUUUCGAAUCGUAAAGCUCUGUCCUAUGGGAAGAUAAUGACGGUACCAUAGGAGGAAGCCCCGGCUAACUACGUGCCAGCAGCCGCGGUAAUACGUAGGGGGCGAGCGUUGUCCGGAAUUACUGGGCGUAAAGGGUUCGCAGGCGGCAUGACAAGUCCGAAGUAAAAGGCGAAAGCUCAACUUUCGUAAGCAUCGGAAACUGUCAAGCUUGAGUAAGGUAGAGGCAAGUGGAAUUCCUAGUGUAGCGGUGGAAUGCGUAGAUAUUAGGAGGAAUACCGGUGGCGAAGGCGACUUGCUGGACUACAACUGACGCUGAGGAACGAAAGCGUGUGUAGCAAACAGG